rnacentral:tRNA from 1 species
GGGUAUAUAGCUCAGUGGUAGAGGGCAUGCUUAGCAUGCACGAGGUCCUGGGUUCAAUCCCCAGUCCCU